rnacentral:rRNA from 1 species
UACGUAGGGUGCGAGCGUUAAUCGGAAUUACUGGGCGUAAAGCGUGCGCAGGCGGUUCGUUGUGUCGGCGGUGAAAGCCCCGGGCUUAACCUGGGAAUGGCCGUUGAAACUGGCGAACUGGAGUGUGGCAGAGGGGGGUGGAAUUCCGCGUGUAGCAGUGAAAUGCGUAGAGAUGCGGAGGAACACCGAUGGCGAAGGCAGCCCCCCUGGGCUAACACUGACGGCCUCGAGGCACGAAAGCGUGGGG